GCUAUACUGCAGUCGAACGCACAGCGAAAGGUGCUUGCACCUUUCAAGUGAGUGGCGAACGGGUGAGUAACACGUGGACAACCUGCCUCAAGGCUGGGGAUAACAUUUGGAAACAGAUGCUAAUACCGAAUAAAACUUAGUAUCGCAUGAUACCAGGUUAAAAGGCGCUACGGCGUCACCUAGAGAUGGAUCCGCGGUGCAUUAGUUAGUUGGUGGGGUAAAGGCCUACCAAGACAAUGAUGCAUAGCCGAGUUGAGAGACUGAUCGGCCACAUUGGGACUGAGACACGGCCCAAACUCCUACGGGAGGCUGCAGUAGGGAAUCUUCCACAAUGGGCGAAAGCCUGAUGGAGCAACGCCGCGUGUGUGAUGAAGGCUUUCGGGUCGUAAAGCACUGUUGUAUGGGAAGAAAAGUUAAGGUAGGGAAUGACCUUAGCCUGACGGUACCAUACCAGAAAGGGACGGCUAAAUACGUGCCAGCAGCCGCGGUAAUACGUAUGUCCCGAGCGUUAUCCGGAUUUAUUGGGCGUAAAGCGAGCGCAGACGGUUGGUUAAGUCUGAUGUGAAAGCCCGGAGCUCAACUCCGGAAAGGCAUUGGAAACUGGUUAACUUGAGUGCAGUAGAGGUAAGUGGAACUCCAUGUGUAGCGGUGGAAUGCGUAGAUAUAUGGAAGAACACCAGCGGCGAAGGCGGCUUACUGGACUGUAACUGACGUUGAGGCUCGAAAGUGUGGGUAGCAAACAGGAUUAGAUACCCUGGUAGUCCACACCGUAAACGAUGAACACUAGGUGUUAGGAGGUUUCCGCCUCUUAGUGCCGAAGCUAACGCAUUAAGUGUUCCGCCUGGGGAGUACGACCGCAAGGUUGAAACUCAAAGGAAUUGACGGGGACCCGCACAAGCGGUGGAGCAUGUGGUUUAAUUCGAAGCAACGCGAAGAACC
rnacentral:rRNA from 1 species